rnacentral:rRNA from 1 species
GACGAACGCUGGCGGCGUGCCUAAUACAUGCAAGUCGUGCGGACCUUGUUGAAAGCUUGCUUUUAAAAGGUUAGCGGCGGACGGGUGAGUAACACGUGGGCAACCUGCCUGUAAGACUGGGAUAACGCCGGGAAACCGGGGCUAAUACCAGAUCGUUUUUUCCUCCGCAUGGAGGAAAAAGGAAAGGCGGCUUCGGCUGCCACUUACAGAUGGGCCCGCGGCGCAUUAGCUAGUUGGCGGGGUAAUGGCCCACCAAGGCAACGAUGCGUAGCCGACCUGAGAGGGUGAUCGGCCACAUUGGGACUGAGACACGGCCCAAACUCCUACGGGAGGCAGCAGUAGGGAAUCUUCCGCAAUGGACGAAAGUCUGACGGAGCAACGCCGCGUGGGUGAAGAAGGCCUUCGGGUCGUAAAACUCUGUUGCCGGGGAAGAACAAGUGCCGUUCGAACAGGGCGGCGCCUUGACGGUACCCGGCCAGAAAGCCACGGCUAACUACGUG